GCUGGGUGUGGUGGCGCACACCUGUAAUCCCAGCUACUCAGGAGGCUGAGGCAGGAGAAUUGCUUGAACCUGGGAGGUGGAGGUUGCAGUGAGCCGAGAUCACGCCACUGCACUCCAGCCUGGGUGACAGAGUGAGCCUCCGUCUCAA
rnacentral:SRP_RNA from 2 species